AUGAACGCUGGCGGCGUGCCUAAUACAUGCAAGUCGAACGAACGGACGAGAAGCUUGCUUCUCUGAUGUUAGCGGCGGACGGGUGAGUAACACGUGGAUAACCUACCUAUAAGACUGGGAUAACUUCGGGAAACCGUAGCUAAUACCGGAUAAUAUUUUGAACCGCAUGGUUCAAAAGUGAAAGACGGUCUUGCUGUCACUUAUAGAUGGAUCCGCGCUGCAUUAGCUAGUUGGUAAGGUAACGGCUUACCAAGGCAACGAUGCAUAGCCGACCUGAGAGGGUGAUCGGCCACACUGGAACUGAGACACGGUCCAGACUCCUACGGGAGGCAGCAGUAGGGAAUCUUCCGCAAUGGGCGAAAGCCUGACGGAGCAACGCCGCGUGAGUGAUGAAGGUCUUCGGAUCGUAAAACUCUGUUAUUAGGGAAGAACAUAUGUGUAAGUAACUGUGCACAUCUUGACGGUACCUAAUCAGAAAGCCACGGCUAACUACGUG
rnacentral:rRNA from 1 species